rnacentral:rRNA from 1 species
GACGAACGCUGGCGGCGUGCCUAAUACAUGCAAGUCGAGCGGAUCUCUUCGGAGAUCAGCGGCGGACGGAUGAGUAACACGUGGGCAACCUGCCUGUAAGACUGGGAUAACUCCGGGAAACCGGGGCUAAUACCGGAUAACCCUUCGGACCUCAUGGUCCGGAGCUGAAAGACGGUUAUGCUGUCACUUACAGAUGGGCCCGCGGCGCAUUAGCUAGUUGGUGAGGUAACGGCUCACCAAGGCGACGAUGCGUAGCCGACCUGAGAGGGUGAUCGGCCACACUGGGACUGAGACACGGCCCAGACUCCUACGGGAGGCAGCAGUAGGGAAUCUUCCGCAAUGGACGAAAGUCUGACGGAGCAACGCCGCGUGAGUGAAGAAGGUUUUCGGAUCGUAAAACUCUGUUGUUAGGGAAGAACAAGUACGAGAGUAACUGCUCGUACCUUGACGGUACCUAACCAGAAAGCCACGGCUAACUACGUGCCAGCCGCCGCGGUAAAAC